GGACUUUGGGGUCUGGUGCUAACUCAGAGGCUUGGGUCUGUGAGCCAAAGCACCAUCUCCUGUUUGGUUCUUCCUAUGUUCAGGAAAUUGGACUUUCUAUAUUCUUUUGAAACAAAGAAGACUGCAUCAAAGCUGGUGCCCUUUGCUGAAGGAUAGUUCCUGUGCUGCAGACUCUGAAUAAAAACAUUUCAUUUUAAGAAUGCAAUUAGAAACACAUCUGUUGUUCCAGGAUCUUUAUAUGAAAAGUGAGUCCACACAAACCAGCCAUUGAGAUUUAAAAAUCAAUUUUCAGCUUCCAGAUAAAAGCUAUGUAUACGGGACUAUUUUAUGCAAAAAUAUCCUCUUUCCUACAGAAGAUGACUGCCAUGAGAAAGAGGCUUGUGCCAAAGCCUAUUGAAUCCAAUGGAAAAACUAUCAUUAAUAUCAGUGGGCUUUAGAUCAGAUCCAUUUCAAGCACAUAUUCUGCAGAGGAUUCAUUCCUUUGGACUUUGAAGAAACAUAAUCAUUGCAGAAAGACAGAAAACACCUAUUGGCUCCAGCUGCUCCCUCAAUGACCAAGACCGAUUCAUGAUCUGAGAACUCCCCUAAACUGCAAACCUGCAUGUCAUAUGACAGGUACACUCUUGUCAUCAGGAUACUGAUAUCACCCUGUACCAUUCUUCAGGCUGCUUUGCCCAUCCUGCCAACGGAGCCUGAGUAUUCCAUAGAAUGAUCCUCUGCUACCAAGUCUUACGAAGACAAUGGCUCAUGCCUUCCACUGCACCAGUCACAUCAGGUGUGCUCUAUAUUUGUGUAAGGAGUACAUGUGUAGGCAGUGUUUGCGUAAAACCAUAUGUGGAAGUAAUCCAAACCAUAGAAGACUAAUUCAUUCCAAUAUCCCAUUAUCUACAAAGAACAGAAUGAUUAACAGUAACAAAAGCAAAAUGAUGGUGCAGAACACAUGUAGUCCUCCUAUCCCCUGGAGUUGAGUAAGAUAAUUUUCAUUUCACAAUGGAAGGAAGAGUGGAGGAAAGGAUAGUCUGGAUCUGGUUCCAGAAGAACUGUCAUUCUUUGUCAUUCUUUCCAUUUCAGGGACUAUAUUGCAUAUGAGUCUGUUUCUGCUCUCCUUGUUCCUGGUGCAAGCCAGGAGUAGCU